rfam:Oryza glumipatula chromosome 2, whole genome shotgun sequence.
AAAAAGACAAACCAUGGGUUUCCAUGUGCAACGUUUGACUGUCCGUCUUAUAUGAAAUUUUUUUAUAAUUAGUAUUUUCAUUGUUGUUAGAUGAUAAAACAUGAUUAAUACUUUAUGUGUGACUUAUCUUUUAAAUUUUUUUCAUAAUUUUUUUAAAUAAAAUGGACGAUCAAAUAUUAGACACGAAAACUCAGGGUUAGCUUUUUU